rnacentral:rRNA from 1 species
GGCGGACGGGCUGAGUAACGCGUGGGAAUCUACCCAGUAGCUGGGGGACAACUACCGGAAACGGUAGCUAAUACCGCAUACGCCCUAUGGGGGAAAGGCUUCGGCCGCUAUUGGAUGAGCCCGCGUCAGAUUAGCUAGUUGGUAGGGUAAAGGCCUACCAAGGCAACGAUCUGUAGCUGGUCUGAGAGGACGAACAGCCACACUGGGACUGAGACACGGCCCAGACUCCUACGGGAGGCAGCAGUGGGGAAUAUUGGACAAUGGGCGAAAGCCUGAUCCAGCAAUGCCGCGUGUGUGAAGAAGGCCUGCGGGUUGUAAAGCACUUUCAGUUGGGAAGAUGAUGACGUUACCAACAGAAGAAGCACCGGCUAAAUCCGUGCCAGCAGCCGCGGUAAUACGGAUGGUGCGAGCGUUAAUCGGAAUUACUGGGCGUAAAGCGCGC